UCCGGUUUGGCACCGGCAGUCUCCCAUGAGUCCGCCGUUGUCUAGCCCAGGUAAGGUUCUUCGCGUUGCGUCGAAUUGAACCACAUGCUCCACCGCUUGUGCGGGCCCCCGUCAAUUCCUUUGAGUUUCAGCCUUGCGGCCGUACUCCCCAGGCGGAGUGCUUAAUGCGUUAGCUGCAGCACUAAAGGGCGGAAACCCUCUAACACUUAGCACUCAUCGUUUACGGCGUGGACUAC
rnacentral:misc_RNA from 1 species